rnacentral:misc_RNA from 1 species
GCUAACUUUACAAUAGCUUUAAAGAGAUGUGUUCAAGAGCAUCAAGGGUCCAACUACCCACAACCUAUACUUAUUUGUAAAAGAGAAGAGGUGGAAAUUGGCAUACAAUCAAGUAUCCUGACACGCAGAUGAGGUAAAAUUGUUUGUUAAAAGCAAGUAGACAGAACAGGCAAAAUAUAAUAAAUAAACAAGCUUCAUAAA